rnacentral:rRNA from 1 species
CCUACGGGAGGCUGCAGUGAGGAAUAUUGGUCAAUGGACGAGAGUCUGAACCAGCCAAGUCGCGUGAAGGAUGACUGCCCUAUGGGUUGUAAACUUCUUUUAUAAAGGAAUAAAACGAGGCACGUGUGCCUUUUUGCAUGUACUUUAUGAAUAAGGAUCGGCUAACUCCGUGCCAGCAGCCGCGGUAAUACGGAGGAUCCGAGCGUUAUCCGGAUUUAUUGGGUUUAAAGGGAGCGUAGAUGGGUUGUUAAGUCAGUUGUGAAAGUUUGGGGCUCAACCGUAAAAUUGCAAUUGAUACUGGCAGUCUUGAGUACAGUUGAGGUAAGCGGAAUGCGUGGUGUAGCGGUGAAAUGCUUAGAUAUCACGAAGAACCCCGAUUGCGAAGGCAGCUUACUAAACUGUGACUGACAUUGAUGCUCGAAAGUGUGGGGAUCAAACAGGAUUAGAUACCCGAGUAGUC